rnacentral:rRNA from 1 species
UACGUAGGUGACAAGCGUUGUCCGGAUUUACUGGGCGUAAAGCGCGCGCAGGCGGCGCACUUUGCCCGGCGUGAAAGCCCCCGGCUCAACCGGGGGAGGGUCGUCGGGGACCGCACCGCUUGAGGGCGGUAGGGGCUGGUGGAAUGCCUGGUGUAGUGGUGAAAUGCGUAGAGAUCGGGAGGAACACCUGUGGCGAAGGCGGCCCCCUGGUUGGAUACUGACGCUGAGACGCGAAAGCGUGGGGAGCAAACAGG